GACUGUUCGCCCGAGUGGUUAAGGGGAUGGACUUAAGAACUUCUGGACACUGUCUGCGGGGUUCGAACCCCACAGCACUCA